UUGAUUUCUUUGUGCCGCACUUCGCCUCCUCUCACCAAGCUCCGUCCUGCUGCUCGUGGAUUUAUCGCGGCGAAGCGGCAGGAGACGAGUGCAGUGGUGGUGCGGCGAGACGACUGGAACGAGUGGAAAUGUCGAGACGACUUUAUCGAUCCAUUUUGAUUCCCAUUCGGCGGUCGGCGGUCGACGGGCGACGCGAUUCGAACGCUGACGAUGCGAGUUCUGUUCUGCAGAAUGUUGCAUAGCCACAGGCGCUGUUAGUACCCGAACCUAGACAGUCGGCGAAGCGAUAACAACAAAGUGAGUAAUGAGUACCACGUACGAGAAUACCCGCUCUUUUGCUUGAUACCAUAACAGUGGUACAAAUAAGGUUCAAAAAGUGGCGUCUCUCCCAUCAUCUGCAAAUUUGUGCAACUAUUUAUGUGAAAUUAUUUUGUAUAAAACUCUCCGUUGCAACGCAGAAAAUACAAUUUUUGGCACUUUCCAGUUGGAUCGAAGUUCUCGAAUCGUAAAAGUUAUCAUUUAAGAGUGGCCACUGUAACCACCAACACGAGGAGGACGACGCCCUUUCAUUGUGACCUGUGCUGACCUUUGUUGUCUGCCGCCGUCAGCGCCUGUUGUUGUUGUGUCUGCAGAAUUUUAUUUAUUUUCCGCUGCGUAUGCGGGAGCGUCCGAAAAAGAUAAAAGGCGAAACUUUAAAGCGGCACGUUUGGCAAACUUUUUGUUUUGGCUGCGUUCUUCUUUUCGGUUGUGUUUUUGGGCGAGAAACUUUUUUCACAGGGGUCUUGAUUUCCAUUAAUUAAUACAUGGGUUAAUGUGAGAGAUAGGGUGGCAGCCCUGGCGUAGCGUAAAGUUUCCUCAGUCUCUGUCUAUCUCACUCUAUCCCCUCUAUUUGCGCCUCAUUUGCAUUUUGCGUGUUGCAGUUAUUACACCUGGACAUAAUAGUAGAGCUUUCUCGCUCUGGCACACAUGCUUUGAACUAAGAGAGUGAGAGAGGAGCCCACUGUCCUUAAGUUACAGAAUUGCACAUCAUUUAACGAAAAAGAGAACAUUCACCAUGAAAUGUUUUAUAUUUGGACAUUGAUAUAAGAGACUACACCAUCUACACCAAGCCGAAGACGACGCGAGCGGGAUCCCAGGCAGGAACGCAGCCCUACUCUCGCCCAACUGACUGAGGUGCACUUCCGCAUGACGAACUGAACCGAUCGCGCACAUGCAGGAUAGAUAGAUGUUAGACUAAUAUUCGAGGAAAAUGAACUUAACUGCAUGCCUUAAAAAUACAAUGGAAUGGAAACCCUGACAAUCAAUGGAACCAAAAUGUUUUAAUAAUUCUAGAGAACUUAAAAGGUCUAACAAGCAGUGGAAGUUACGAAUCGAUUGAAUCCAACAAGUUCUCGGAACUUUAUAGUAUGUUAUAGGAGGUACUCUUUCGGGGAUUGAUUCAAGGUGUUCUUGUUCCUCUGGAAGUGGUCGUUGUAAGGCCUGUACUUGAUAGAACCAAAGUAUAAUAAAACUACUUGCCUUUGUGCAUGAACGUUACUUAAAAGAACAGAAAAUUCGUAUUGGUGCAUUAUGCGAUUUGUAGACAAAAGAAUCAAGACAAUUCAAACGUUUUAAUCUCUUCUGCCAACGAGUAUUUAACAUAGAAGAUUUUAAAUAAUUUAUACCAGAUAGAAUAGAGAGAAUUCGUAUUACACUUUGUUUUUCCUGUCAAACAUUUAAAUUGUUUAAUUUUAUGAAACAAAGAAUGGAUAAUAAAUGAGGGUCUAUUAAAAUCAUGCCAGUUUUCAUUAAUAUAUACAGAGCGCCCACUUUUUCAUCGAAACUGCCUAAAUAUAUUCCCGAAACCAUAUUCCACUAAUAAUAUUAAAACAUUUAAUGAAUACUUACUGAAAU